rnacentral:rRNA from 1 species
GAAUCCGCUAAGGAGUGUGUAACAACUCACCUGCCGAAUGGACUAGCCCUGAAAAUGGAUGGCGCUGAAGCGGGUGGCCGAGACCACACCGUUUGACGAAUUGGCAACUCGUCGAAUGAGUAGGAGGGCGUGGCGGCCGUGGAGAAGCCGGUGGGCAAUCACUGGUGGAACGGCCGCGAGUGCAGAUCUUGGUGGUAGUAGCAAAUAUUCAAGUGAGUGAACAAACCUUGAAGGGUGAAGCGGGGAAGGGUUUUAUGUGAACAUUGAUUGGGCAUAAGUGAGUCGUUCCUAAGCUGCUGGUUUAUUCUCUCGGGAAUUUUUCUGGCGAAAGGGAAGCAGGUUGACAUUCCUGCACACGGAUGUGGAGGCGGUGACGCCGUUUGAGACAAACACGUUGGCGACAGCUCUGGGCAGAGUUAUCUUUUCUGUUUGACGUCAGGGUGCGCUGUGUGGAAUCCGCUUGUCGGGAGAAACACGCGUGCCCGGGCAGAGCGCCGGACUUUUCCGGCGUCCAGAUCGCUGUCGACAGCCCUUGAAACUUUGUCUGCUGAAGUGAACAAUCCACGCCGUGACGUACCGAUAACCGCAUCAGGUCCCCAAGGUGAACAGCCUCUACUCAAUAUGAACAAUGCAGGUAAGGGAAGUCGGCA